rnacentral:lncRNA from 1 species
UAGGCAUGCACAUCUCAGCCAUUGGAAGAGGAUGAAGAGGAGAUCAGGGCACCAUCUCCCUCUCAGGACUUCAUGCAUGAGAUUGCCACUUCACAGAGAAUUUAUCAAACAUGGACAAACUUAUUUUUAAUCAUCAUGUUGAAAGGAAUUAUUUCAUUACAAAGAACAGAAAACUACAUAUGUGAUAUCAAGAAAAAAAUAAAGCUGCAAGACCCUCUUCUCUUCGGCUUCUCACUGACCUAG